CUCUAUAACCCUUCAUAUAACCUUCUUCAAUUCUAGUAAAAUACGGUCGUAAUCCUCCCCUAUUCUUCUGUAAUUUGUCCAAUUUUCCUUCUCUUUUCUUUGUAUUAUUCCUCAAUUUUCAUUCUAUUUUCGUUUCCCUCUCGAAACGAAUCUCUUUCUCUCCCCGAUUGGUUUCAUGAUCGAUUGCCACUUAUGUGUGUUGCCUCUAAAACUUCUCGCCUUCCUCCAUAUCUUUCCAUUCAUGGCUUUGCUAUAACAUUCGGUGCGUCGAUGUACCCUUGUCGCUCCAACAUAGCCUUGCCGCUUUAAUUUGGGCUUUGCGUCACUUUUGUUUCGACCCAAAGCCACAUUAAGUGCCAGAUGCUACACCAAGUUGAAUGGCAGACGAGUAGGGCCUCAGCAAAGCACGGCAGGGGUUGUCAGUUAACAUCGAAGGUUGUAGCAGUUUAACACUUCAUUUACGAGGUACUGCAGUUAUAACUAUGUACUUUUUGAAGUUCCAUCUACUCACAUUUUGUUAAUGGAAUGCUGUAAUAAUUCCCUUUAUUUUGUUCAUAGUUUUUAACGAUUUGUUCUCUCAUGUAAGAGACAUUUGCUUACUGCCUUCAUUUUGUAAUAUUAUGCAAACAUUGUUUGAUUCAUUGUUCA